ensembl:lncRNA
GAUUAUUUUGGAAUAUGGUUCUUCAGUACCAUCUGAAAGUGAUCAGAUUUCUGUAGUUGAGGCAAAAUUGUCCUGACAUCAUAUUGGUUUAUGUUAUCUGAAACUCUCAGCUUGUGCUGAGCCUCAGUGACAAAAAGGAGGGUCUAGUGGAAAUGCUAAGUCACAGCUUGAAACAGUGAUUGAACACCUAGGUAGGAAGGCAGGGCCAACUCAGGGGAUGCAUUGCAUGCACCUGAGUGACCAGAAGGGGUGGAGCCAGGAUCCACCCCUUCCCAGACCUCAUUUAAGGGUUGGCAGUGGAGGCAAGGGCAUGUCUUACUGAAGAUCCCUGUCUACCUGAGGCCUUCCAAAGGAUACUGCAACACACCCAGCUCUAUUCGUGGAAGAGAAAACAGUCUACUUUACCUCCACAGGAGUACCUCUUGGGUAUUAUUUCUGCUCUUUUUUGGAGAGAAAUUGAACACACAGGAAGAAAAUUAUGUACAUGCUGAACUACAAAAGAAAAUCUUGAACAAAAAUGACUGAACAGAAGGAAAAGGGAAAAAAUCAGUUUCUCUGUGGGUUGCUGCUGUGCCUCUGGUGCUCAUCAAUAAUCUUCCAGAGCGAUAAUCUGAGACUCAUCCCCAAAAAGGCUCAAUCAGUAAGCCGGUAAAUUGAGUGUUACAAAUUCACUGUGAUAGCAGAAUAUGGGAUGCCAAACUUCAGAUCCAGAUUCUAAAAUGGAUCAUUGUGGUAUAUAUGUUCGAAGAUCCCUUCUUCUGUAAAACAUAAGUUAAGCUACUGUUCUCAUACUGGAGAGCUCCUGGAAAUCAUUUUGGAAUCAGAAAUUCUUUCUGUGUAAAAAAUUCGAGACUUCCUGCAGCUGUGGGAUAUAAGCCAGCAGACAGGAGAUUCGGCCUUUCUUGCCAACUCCUGCACAGUGCAUGGUAGUAGAAAGACCCAUAACAUUGUCCAAUCUUGAUGUGGAUCUUUUCCACUUAAGAAACAUGGCAGCAUUGAGUGUUAGCCCCCAGAACAUAAAAAGAAAUGAAAAUAUUCAGUUAUUCAGGACAGGUACGUGUAAAGAUUUUUCACAGUUUUUCCAUGAAGAGGAAGAAAUAUCAGACAUGGCAGCUGGCCCACUUACUCCUCUGUCUGGCAUGUCUCUUCUCAUUUACCCUAUAGCGUGGUUCUGAACCACACAUUUGGGCUUCAUCAAACUGAUGGUACCAGAUGAGCAUCCCAAGCUCUUGCCCCAGACAAAGAAGAGCUGAUCACAGAAUGGCUAUUCCCAGAACAAUCAGAGUCACAGAACUGUAGGUGUUGGAAGGGACCUCUAGAGACUCCUCCUGCCAAAGCAGGCUCCCUAGACCAUUUUACACAGGAGAUGGCAUCUAGAACAAGCUGUUCCAUCACCUUUCCAGGGACAGAGCCUUUCAAUCCCAACUUUCAAGCCCAAGCUGUUUUAAGAAGACUCAAUGGAAUGUGGUUUUCUCUUCAUUAUUUGGAAGGCUUCAUUUACAUGGCCUCCUUGUGACAGAAUUGAUAAUUCUGCAUCUUAAUGAAGUGCAGAAUGCUUCUUACUGAGGAGAUAAUAUUCUGAAGACAGAUUUACAGUAACUGAAGAAAACUGUACAUUGUCCACUGCAAAGCCACCCACACUCCAGAUACUUAACCCUUUCUUUAGAACAACAAAGGAAAGCCAGGUGACCUGAUACUUUUCUUCAGCAGUUCAUCUAUUUAACUUCUCUAAGGGGAAAGUCACCCUGAUAGAAUGGGUUAUAUACCUAUAUGCUACUAGGUCUGUUCUACGUCUCACUAAUGGAUGGAAACAUAAGUAAAUCUUAGUUGUUGUCCUUGUGCAGCUCAUGCGCGCACAGAGCAUAAUCCCUUCCCAGUGAAUAAAUUCCUCUUAAACCACUCCUGUUUUUCACAAACAUGACACAGGCCAUAAGACCAAGUAGGAGAAUUAUGACUAUUACAGACAUUUUCCAAAGCCAAGUCACAGAAUCAUGAAAUCAUAGAAACACAGAAUGGCUUUGAUUGGAAGGGACCUUACAGCCCACCCAGUCCCGACUCCCUGCCAUGGGCAGGGCUGCCACCCACCAGCUCAGGCUGCCCAGGGCCCCAUCCAACCUGGCCUUGAAUGCCUCCAGGGAUGGGGCAUUCACAGCUUCUCUGGGCAGCCUGUGCCAAUGCCUCACCACCCUCUGAGUAAAAAAUUUCCACCUAACAUCUAGUUUAAAUAUCCCCUUCUAGUUUAAAAGAGUUUCCCCUUUAUCCUCCUUGAUAGUAAUAGCACACUAUUACUAUCAGACUGUGUCCUUUGGCCUUACCUACCUAUCCUUUUGGAUGAUGAUUAAUGCCUUUGCACAGUGGUACAAUCACUUGUACCAGCUGAGCUGGUAGUUUCCCCGCUUACUUUAGUAUCAAAGAGAGAAAACAGUGGUUUUUCCAUAAUUCACCAGAGAGGUGAAUAAUCCUACAGCAUACUCUCUAACACAUUGUUUCCCACGUUUUAGGACCUAGAUUUCUCACCUUGUUUAAAGCAGUCUGGGAGGUACAUGCAACUAAAUCCAAUUUAUUAGAUUAGGCUGAUGGCAUUGGCAGGGAUAAGGAGUGGUGGAACAUGCUAACGAGCAAUUGUCCUGUAGUUCAGCACUGCUUUCAUGUUUAUUUCACACUCUGCUCUAAAACCAAAGAAAACUAUUGUAUCGCAGUCAUCAGAGCUAAGCAUUACUGGUGAUAAUAAACAGUGUCCUAAGAGAGGCAAAAAUCCACCUCAAUUUUUUCUCCUCUUGAAAUUAAUGAUUUCACCCUACUCCCAACACACACACGCCAUGUUAUUUCAGGCUUCAGCCAAGCUCUUCCCUUGUCACUUCC